CCAUAUUGAACCUAGUGAUGUAUGGAUUAGUGGCGGACGGGUGAGUAACGCGUGGAUAACCUGCCGUAUACAGGGGGAUAACACUUAGAAAUAGGUGCUAAUACCGCAUAAGCGCACGGUUCCGCAUGGAACAGUGUGAAAAACUCCGGUGGUAUACGAUGGAUCCGCGUCUGAUUAGCCAGUUGGCGGGGUAACGGCCCACCAAAGCGACGAUCAGUAGCCGGCCUGAGAGGGUGAACGGCCACAUUGGGACUGAGACACGGCCCAAACUCCUACGGGAGGCAGCAGUGGGGAAUAUUGCACAAUGGGGGAAACCCUGAUGCAGCGACGCCGCGUGAGUGAAGAAGUAUCUCGGUACGUAAAGCUCUAUCAGCAGGGAAGAAAAUGACGGUACCUGACUAAGAAGCCCCGGCUAACUACGUGCCAGCAGCCGCGGUAAUACGUAGGGGGCAAGCGUUAUCCGGAUUUACUGGGUGUAAAGGGAGCGUAGACGGCAGCGCAAGUCUGGAGUGAAAUGCCGGGGCUCAACCCCGGAACUGCUUUGGAAACUGUGCAGCUCGAGUGCAGGAGAGGUAAGCGGAAUUCCUAGUGUAGCGGUGAAAUGCGUAGAUAUUAGGAGGAACACCAGUGGCGAAGGCGGCUUACUGGACUGUAACUGACGUUGAGGCUCGAAAGCGUGGGGAGCAAACAGGAUUAGAUACCCUGGUAGUCCACGCCGUAAACGAUGAUUACUAGGUGUCGGGGGGCCAAGGCCCUCCGGUGCCGCCGCAAACGCAUUAAGUAAUCCACCUGGGGAGUACGUUCGCAAG
rnacentral:rRNA from 1 species